UGAUGUCUACGGGAGGCAGCAGUGGGGGAUAUUGCACAAUGGGGGAAACCCUGAUGCAGCGACGCCGCGUGGGCGAAGAAGUAUUUCGGUAUGUAAAGCCCAAUCAGCAGGGAAGAAGAAAUGACGGUACCUGACUAAGAAGCCCCGGCUAACUACGUGCCAGCAGCCGCGGUAAUACGUAGGGGGCAAGCGUUAUCCGGAUUUACUGGGUGUAAAGGGAGCGUAGGCGGUUUAGCAAGUCAGAAGUGAAAGCCCGGGGCUCAACUCCGGGACUGCUUUUGAAACUGUUGAGCUAGAUUGCAGGG
rnacentral:rRNA from 1 species